AAUGAACGUUGGCGGCGUGGAUUAGGCAUGCAAGUCGAGCGAGAAGGGUUUGGUGCUUGCAUUGAACCUGGAAAGCGGCGAAAGGGAGAGUAACGCGUAGGGUAUCUGCCCCCAGGUCUGGGAUAGCGGCGGGAAACUGCCGGUAAUACCGGAUGAUGUCUCCGGACCAAAGGUGUGAUUCCGCCUGGGGAUGAUCCUGCGUCCUAUUAGUUUGUUGGUGGGGUAAUGGCCUACCAAGACGAUGAUGGGUAGCGGGCGUGAGAGCGUGGCCCGUCUCACUGGGACUGAGACACUGCCCAGACACCUACGGGUGGCUGCAGUCGAGAAUCUUCCGCAAUGGACGCAAGUCUGACGGAGCGACGCCGCGUGCGGGAUGAAGGCCUUCGGGUUGUAAACCGCUGUCAGUGGGGUGGAAAUCAUUGGGGGCUAUCCCCCUUUGUUGACCUAACCGCAGAGGAAGUCCGGGCUAAGUACGUG
rnacentral:rRNA from 1 species